UACAGGGGGUGCAAACGUUGCUCGGAAUUAUUGGGCGUAAAGCGCGCGUAGGCGGCCACUUAAGUCGGAUGUGAAAGCCCCUGGCUCAACUGGGGAAGUGCACCCGAAACUGAAUGGCUUGAAUGCAAAAGAGGGUCGCGGAAUUCCCGGUGUAGAGGUGAAAUUCGUUGAUAUCGACAGGAACGCCGGUGGCGAAAGCGGAGUGCUGGUCCUUUUCUGACGCUGAGGCGCGAAAGCCAGGGGAGCAAACGGG
rnacentral:rRNA from 1 species